rnacentral:rRNA from 1 species
CAGUAGCCGCGGUAAUACGGAGGAUCCAAGCGUUAUCCGGAAUUACUGGGCGUAAAGCGCACGUAGGCGGCUUGGUAAGUUAGAGGUGAAAGCCCGGAGCUCAACUCCGGAAUUGCCUUUAAGACUGCCGAGCUAGCAGGUGAGAGAGGUAAGUGGAAUUCCGAGUGUAGAGGUGAAAUUCGUAGAUAUUCGGAAGAACACCAGUGGCGAAGGCGGCUUACUGGCUCAUACUGGACGCUGAGGUGCGAAAGCGUGGGGAGCAAACAGGAUUAGAUACCCGCGUAGUCCCUGUCUCUUAUAC